AAAUCAUGCAUUGGGCAUUUCCGCAACAAGUCUUUAAAUCGGUCUCAAGCUUCAUACAAGUUUUCAUCCUCUAAUUACUUGAAGGAUGUGAUGUCGUUUCUCAAUCU